GCCCAGAGGCACACAGAUGGGCAGGAAACAGGAGAAGCAGAACUCAGGAAAAGAUGACAUUUCAGUACUGAUGAAAAAUAUCCCGGAAUAUCUGAGGAUUUAACCCCAGUGCUUGUUACCCAUUUGAAUGAACACUCCAGGAGGUUCAAAAGGGUUUCUCUGCAUAGAGACUGAAACAGAGUAUCCUGACUUCUUGGUGUCUGCCAGCAAUUUUUCCCACUCCUUAAUACAGAGUUCUCAAAGCAAGGUGCCUUGCCCAGCAGAAGAGGUGGCAUUUGGGAAACUGUUAGAAAUGCAAAUGACCAGACAGUCCCAGACCACAGAAUAAUCAAUCUAUGUUUUAAUAAGCCUUAUGGUGGUUCUGAUGUGUGCUAAAUUUGAGAAUUUGAGAAUUACUGCUAAUAAAAGGCAGCAUUUUCUCUUUUCCUUUUCAUUCUUGAUAUACUUCCCUAUUUCCUUAGGUAAUACAUUAAAAGACUAUGAGAUUGUUUCUCUGUAAAUCUUUUGAAAAUGGAGUUCUGUUUUCUGCUUUGACUUUUCUUAUUCUGGCUCUGAGAGACCUAUUAAAUUCUUCUGUCCUUUAUUGAAUGGCUUUCAUUUUUCUUUCUCUGGCUUUACCACAGAGUAAGUUUAUCACCUGGCAUGAAUUAAAUGAAAUGCAACCUAAUAGGUGGCUGAUGAAUAUUUUUACAGAACUCUAGAGUCUUGCUACUCCAAGUGUGGCCCUCAUUCAGCAGGACAAUAUCAGUGUUACUGGGGGCUGGCUGGUUCUGUAAAAUCUGUCUCCAGUCUCAGCUCCACUGACUGAGGAUCUGCACUCUGAGGGUCUCCAGGUGAUUAAUGUACAAAUUAAGGUGUGCAGUGCUCUAAAAUAAUACCUCAGACCUUAAGUGAAACAACUGUUUCUGAAGCUGGGAUAGUUACUUGAAAAUUUUAGCCAAGCUGACAAGUUUCAUCUCCAAGGCAAAAUAUUACUGUAUUUGGUAAUGUGAGCUUUAAGAUGAUGGCAAAGAAGGAAGAGAAUACUUUAUCUGAAAUAGAUUACACACAAUCAGUGAAAAGGUUUUCAUUCUUCUAUAUAGGAUUGUUUCAACCCAAGGAUGGAAUCACAGAGA